UUUGAAACUAGGUUUUUAAUACCUACCACUGAUUGACUUUUACUUAACCCUCCGUUGGUAGCGUGGGGUCUUUGAAAGCCCAGGUGUUACAGAAAUGUAAAAUUUUAACAUUUAAAACCAUCUCAGCGAUUCAAUAUUUUGGGUACCCUCCUAAUUUGGAUUAUACUUGCUGCGUAUACCCAUUAACUUCAAUUCGUGCGUAAGUGCCGUGAGAUACAAACGUGUUUUGUGCGUACGGGCUUUGAAAGACCCCACGCGACUAACCGCAAACAGACGACCAAUUUCAUACA